CCUGGAUACCCAGACUGUACUGACUGACGUACCACUCCUGUAUAUCCACUAAGCGGGGAUUAUACCACUAUACGCCCUCCAUCCCAGAGCUGGUAUAGCUCUUUUCAAUGUGAGUUUAUUACCUAUCUUUAUUCAUUUUUAUCCCUGGAUUUUGGUAUAUUGCACUAUUAGUCGUAUCUCCCCUUUGUCUCUCCACAUAUACAGAUAUUUUAACCAUCUAGAUCAACUCCUGAGGAUUUCACCCUCACCCUAUCCUGAUAUUUUAGUGAGACUUUUAUUUCCGACUAAAAGAACUGCUUUGGUGUACCUAGUGUAACACACAGGGAAGAGGGAGACAGACUAGCACUAAGCUGCUCAAACUGGAAAUAGGGAUUCACUAAAAACCUAUAUAAAAGACAUAAAAAUCACCUUAAAAAUAAAGUGUGUAACUCCAG